AACGAACGCUGGCGGCAUGCCUAACACAUGCAAGUCGAACGAUUGCCUUCGGGUGAUAGUGGCGCACGGGUGCGUAACGCGUGGGAAUCUGCCCUUAGGUUCGGAAUAACAGCUGGAAACGGCUGCUAAUACCGGAUGAUAUCGCGAGAUCAAAGAUUUAUCGCCUGAGGAUGAGCCCGCGUUGGAUUAGGUAGUUGGUGGGGUAAAGGCCUACCAAGCCGACGAUCCAUAGCUGGUCUGAGAGGAUGAUCAGCCACACUGGGACUGAGACACGGCCCAGACUCCUACGGGAGGCAGCAGUGGGGAAUAUUGGACAAUGGGCGCAAGCCUGAUCCAGCAAUGCCGCGUGAGUGAUGAAGGCCCUAGGGUUGUAAAGCUCUUUUACCCGGGAAGAUAAUGACUGUACCGGGAGAAUAAGCCCCGACUAACUCCGUG
rnacentral:rRNA from 1 species